GACGAACGCUGGCGGCGUGCUUAACACAUGCAAGUCGAACGGAAAGGCCCUGCUUUUGUGGGGUGCUCGAGUGGCGAACGGGUGAGUAACACGUGAGUAACCUGCCCUUGACUUUGGGAUAACUUCAGGAAACUGGGGCUAAUACCGGAUAGGAUCUCCUGCUGCAUGGUGGGGGUUGGAAAGUUUCGGCGGUUGGGGAUGGACUCGCGGCUUAUCAGCUUGUUGGUGGGGUAGUGGCUUACCAAGGCUUUGACGGGUAGCCGGCCUGAGAGGGUGACCGGCCACAUUGGGACUGAGAUACGGCCCAGACUCGUACGGGAGGCAGCAGUGGGGAAUAUUGCACAAUGGGCGGAAGCCUGAUGCAGAAACGCCGCGUGCGGGAUGACGGCCUUCGGGUUGUAAACCGCUUUCGCCUGUGACGAAGCGUGAGUGACGGUAAUGGGUAAAGAAGCACCGGCUAACUACGUG
rnacentral:rRNA from 1 species